UACGUAGGUGGCAAGCGUUGUCCGGAUUUACUGGGCGUAAAGAGCGCGCAGGCGGUCGUGCAAGUCGCGUGUGAAAGCCCCCGGCUCAACUGGGGAGGGUCACGCGAUACUGCUCGACUCGAAGGCAGGAGAGGGAAGUGGAAUUCCCGGUGUAGUGGUGAAAUGCGUAGAUAUCGGGAGGAACACCGGAGGCGAAGGCGAAUCACUGGACCGCUUCUGACGCUGAGGCGCGAAAGCUAGGGGAGCAAACAGG
rnacentral:rRNA from 1 species